rnacentral:rRNA from 1 species
UACGUAGGGGGCAAGCGUUGUCCGGAUUUAUUGGGCGUAAAGAGCGUGUAGGCGGCUAGACAGGUCUGCUGUGAAAACUCGAGGCUCAACCUCGAGAUGUCGGCGGAAACCGUCUGGCUAGAGUCCGGAAGAGGAGAGUGGAAUUCCUGGUGUAGCGGUGAAAUGCGCAGAUAUCAGGAAGGAACACCGUAGUGGCAAAGGG